AGUGAACGCUGGCGGUAGGCCUAACACAUGCAAGUCGAACGGCAGCACAGUAAGAGCUUGCUCUUACGGGUGGCGAGUGGCGGACGGGUGAGGAAUACAUCGGAAUCUACUUUUUCGUGGGGGAUAACGUAGGGAAACUUACGCUAAUACCGCAUACGACCUACGGGUGAAAGCAGGGGAUCUUCGGACCUUGCGCGAUUGAAUGAGCCGAUGUCGGAUUAGCUAGUUGGCGGGGUAAAGGCCCACCAAGGCGACGAUCCGUAGCUGGUCUGAGAGGAUGAUCAGCCACACUGGAACUGAGACACGGUCCAGACUCCUACGGGAGGCAGCAGUGGGGAAUAUUGGACAAUGGGCGCAAGCCUGAUCCAGCCAUACCGCGUGGGUGAAGAAGGCCUUCGGGUUGUAAAGCCCUUUUGUUGGGAAAGAAAAGUAGCAGGUUAAUACCCCGCUGUUCUGACGGUACCUAAAGAAUAAGCACCGGCUAACUUCGUG
rnacentral:rRNA from 1 species